UACAGAGGGGGCAAGCGUUGUUCGGAAUUAUUGGGCGUAAAGGGCGCGUAGGCGGUGCGGUAAGUCACCUGUGAAAUCUCCUGGCUCAACUGGGAGCUUGCAGGCGAAACUGCCGUGCUGGAGUGUGGGAGAGGUGCGUGGAAUUCCUGGUGUAGCGGUGAAAUGCGUAGAUAUCAGGAGGAACACCUGUGGCGAAAGCGGCGCACUGGACCACAACUGACGCUGAGGCGCGAAAGCUAGGGGAGCAAACAGG
rnacentral:rRNA from 1 species